rnacentral:rRNA from 1 species
CCUACGGGAGGCAGCAGUGGGGGAUAUUGCACAAUGGGGGGAACCCUGAUGCAGCGACGCCGCGUGGGUGACGGAGCGUUUCGGCGCGUAAAGCCCUAUCGGCAGGGAAGAAGAUGACGGUACCUGACCAAGAAGCCCCGGCUAACUACGUGCCAGCAGCCGCGGGAAUACGGAGGGGGCAAGCGUUAUCCGGAGUGACUGGGUGUAAAGGGGGCGCAGGCGGCAUUGCAAGCCAGGAGUGAAAGCCGGGGGCCCAACCGCGGGACGGCUCUUGGAACUGCAUGGCUGGAGUACCGGAGGGGCUGGCAGAAUUCCUAGUGUAGCGGUGAAAUGCGUAGAUAUUAGGAGGAACACCGGUGGCGAAGGCGGCCUGCUGGAUUGUGACUGACGUUGAGGCCCGAAGGCGUGGGGAGCAAACAGGAUUAGAUACCCCUGUAGUC